ACGUCAGCAGAUAUUUCAUAUUAUAUAUCAUAUGAUAUAUGGUUGCUCUAGUCAGAAAAAAAAUAAGAGGCUAAGAGGCAGCUUCUAGCCCGAAGACCUAGACCUAGACCGCAAUACAGCUCUUGAAUGGAAUUUUUGGUGAUGGAAAUCAACUAGAAAUCUUUAGUUUGAAGAUAUCGAAAUCUCCAGAAUUCGAAGGCAUAGACGCUGCACCUAUAAUGCACCUCUCACCGAACUGCCUUAAAAAUCUAAAGGUAGCUAUGGAACAAAGUCAUUUGGUCACUUUGCAUCCCAGUGGAAAUAUGCAGAGGUCAUUAUUAUCCCGAAACCGGGCUGAACUGUCAUCCAACAGGACGUCAAUAUUCCAUAGAAUCUAUUCUUUGUUAGAUAAGUAAUGUUAGAUAAGU
ensembl:ncRNA lncRNA:CR46141 long non-coding RNA:CR46141